CCUACGGGUGGCAGCAGUGGGGAAUAUUGGGCAAUGGGCGCAAGCCUGAUCCAGCAACGCCGCGUGAAGGAAGAAGGCUUUCGGGUUGUAAACCUCUUUUAGCAGGGACGAAACAAGUGACGGUACCUGAUGAAUAAGCCACGGCUAACUACGUGCCAGCAGCCGCGGUAAUACGUAGGGGGCAAGCGUUAUCCGGAUUUACUGGGUGUAAAGGGCGUGUAGGGGGGAGUGCAAGUCCGACGUGAAAACUAUGGGCUCAACCCCUGGACUGCAUUUGAAACUGUACUUCUUGAGUGCAGGAGAGGUAAGCGGAAUUCCGUGUGUAGCGGUGAAAUGCGUAGAUAUCAGGAGGAACACCAGUGGCGAAGGCAGAUUACUGGACCGUAACUGACGCUGAGGCGCGAAAGCGUGGGGAGCAAACAGGAUUAGAUACCCCUGUAGUC
rnacentral:rRNA from 1 species